AGAGUUUGAGUCCUGGCGUCAGGGAUGAACGCUAGCGGCAGGCCUAACACAUAGCAAGUCGCGGGGCAGCACGGGUAGCAAGUACCUGGUGGCGACCGGCGCACGGGUGCGUAACGCGUAUGCAACCUGCCCCCAUCAGGGGAAUAGCCGCCGAAAGGCGGAUUAAUGCCCCAUAGGCCCAGGGCGCCGCAUGGCGCUAUGGGUAAAGCUCCGGCGGAUGGGGAUGGGCAUGCGUGCCAUUAGCUAGUUGGGGCGGUAACGGCGCACCAAGGCGACGAUGGCUAGGGGGUCUGAGAGGAUGGUCCCCCACACUGGUACUGAGACACGGACCAGACUCCUACGGGAGGCAGCAGUGAGGAAUAUUGGUCAAUGGGCGGAAGCCUGAACCAGCCAUUGCCGCGUGCAGGAUGACGGCCCUACGGGUUGUAAACUGCUUUUCCCCGGGAAGAAUAAGCCCCUCGUGAGGGGUGAUGCCGGUACCGGGGGAAUAAGGAUCGGCUAACUCCGUGCCAGCAGCCGC
rnacentral:rRNA from 1 species